GACAGAGGUGCCAAGCGUUAGGCGGAAUCACUGGGCUUAAAGCGUGUGUAGGCGGAUCGUUAAGUACCUUGUGAAAUCCCCCGGCUCAACCGGGGAACUGCUGGGUAUACUGGCGAUCUUGAGCAAUCUAGGGGCAGAUGGAACAAGUGGUGGAGCGGUGAAAUGCGUAGAUAUCACUUGGAACGCCAAAGGUGAAGACAGUCUGCUGGGGAUUUGCUGACGCUGAGACACGAAAGCCAGGGGAGCGAACGGG
rnacentral:rRNA from 1 species